rnacentral:tRNA from 1 species
GGAGAGAUACCCAAGAGGCUGAAGGGGGCGGUUUGCUAAAUCGUUAGUAGGGGUUUCCCCUAGCGAGGGUUCGAAUCCCUCUCUCUCCGCCA